GCCAGUUAUCCUUCCUUUCAGAACAGUCCAAACUUGGGACAAAUUUGACGAAUGAAGAUCUGUUUCAACACUUAUCCGGCGGACUUAACACAUACAUAGAAAGCCUCCCUCCUUUUGGAGGAGGCUGCAUAGCAAAAGUCGAGUUUAUGCAUUGGGUUUGUUUUGCAAGCAAUUGGUAAUGUAAGUUGUCCAAAACCAAGUACGAACAAGGAUGAUGCAAUGUGCUUAUACAUUUAUGUGUUAAUAUAUGGUUGGUGCUCGUUAACUGGUGUUAAUGUAUGGCCAUUAGAAUGAUUUGUGGGUUCAUGUCUUCCCCUUCGAAUGCCUCUGCAGAACUUGCUUUGAAAUCUGUCAUGUGAUUUUAUGGCCAUUUCAUGAAUUGAGGUCAAUAUUUUUUAUCAGGUAUUGGAAACUGAAAAAAGAAAAAACUUCUAUCCUUCCCGUAACCAGUCAUCGAUAAUAUCUUCCUUGCAUGGAUUGAUGUCAUUUAGAGAGCCCAUUGGAGAUGCUCUAAUGUCCUAAAACAAGAUUACAAGACCAAGAUUAUGUUUAUAACAUCGUUUUUUGCAGAAUUUACUUACCGCUGCCUGAAAUUCGAUUUCCAGAUUUUACAGAUUUACUUGCCAAUUUGAAAUGAAGCAUACCCUGCACCUGGCAACCUCUCUUUAUUCUUUUUAAGGUAACAACAUUACUUACCAAAUCUGCAGAUAACAUCCCAUAUCUGAUUUCAGAACCCUAAUAUCAGUCCCUGAUUUCAAAUGAGCCAAUUGUUUUACAACCCUCCUUUUGAUCUAUAAAACUGACCAUAUUGAGACUCAGAAAUGUGCACAAACUUCUCCCCUCCUCUUUGGUCCUCUCAUUACUGAUUAAAUUUUAGGGUUCCACUGAGACAGAAAUAGGGAGAGCAAAUGGUAAAAGUUUGUGAGCCGUGCGAAAGCCAAGAUGAGGAGGAUGAUGGAGCCGUUACUGAGCCUGACCUAGCUAAGGUUGGAAAACAUCGAAUCCUUGAUUUACCAGAGAGGUAUACCUCAGUAAAUAUACCCUCUUUAGGCUUCAUGAUCAUUGUUAGUUACCCUAUUUUUUUAGCAUGGUUCCAACUUAUCAUAAUUUACUCUCAUAUGUAUGUUUGAAGUCCUGUUUCUGUUUUAUGAAACCUUAGCCUCUGAGCACAGAAGCUUUCUUAGGAUUCGGAGAAGAAAAAUCUAAUGCUGAUGCCAACUGUGGUUAAUUGGACUGCCUAUAUAUCUGAUUCCCAAAAACAGUCCCAAUUGAGUCUAUUUUUUGUAGCGUCCUGAUGCUUUUAAUAUGCUAGAAGUAUCU